GACGAACGCUGGCGGCGUGCUUAACACAUGCAAGUCGAACGGAAAGGCCCUGCUUUUGUGGGGUGCUCGAGUGGCGAACGGGUGAGUAACACGUGAGUAACCUGCCCUUGACUUUGGGAUAACUUCAGGAAACUGGGGCUAAUACCGGAUAGGAGCUCCUGCUGCAUGGUGGGGGUUGGAAAGUUUCGGCGGUUGGGGAUGGACUCGCGGCUUAUCAGCUUGUUGGUGGGGUAGUGGCUUACCAAGGCUUUGACGGGUAGCCGGCCUGAGAGGGUGACCGGCGACAUUGGGACUGAGAUACGGCGCAGACGCCUACGGGAGGCAGCAGUGGGGAAUAUUGCACAAUGGGCGGAAGCCUGAUGCAGCAACGCCGCGUGCGGGAUGACGGCCUUCGGGUUGUAAACCGCUUUCGCCUGUGACGAAGCGUGAGUGACGGUAAUGGGUAAAGAAGCACCGGCUAACUACGUG
rnacentral:rRNA from 1 species